CUUCAGCACGUGGCUGGCCUGCAGGGCCAAGCAGGCAUGCAGGAGAAGUCAUUUUUAUCAUGCAGGCAGUGACUGCCUGGCUGUCUGUGUCUCCGUCUCCCGAACAGAUUACUAAUCUCACAGACCGUCUAUUAUCCACUCGGCAACUGGCAAACGUGAACUUGGCCAACAUCGAGGCAGAACACUGAGAUCCAAGUUAGAAGAAGUGGGAGAAAGAGAGAAAAUGCAGAGACGAGCCAGACAAUUUCCCAACCUGUAAAAACAUGUUGUAUUUACCAGGUCUGGUACGGAAGCCAAACUCGGGGCUCGGUGUUUGUCUUGGGCCCCGGGCCUGGGUUAUGUCUGGUGCUCUCAGAACGCUGCCCCCCACCUCCCACUCCUCACUCCCAUCUGAUGAUUGGCAUAUUGUUUAGAGACGGAGAGGGACGCUCUUGCGCUCCGGAGGAAGCUGGCAAGAAAGUUCGAUUCUAUAAAAAGAAACGCGCGGUCAGGGUUCGGUUUCCUAUUCUGACUCAAGGCAAAGAAGAGAUUCAGAAAUUCCAACCCAGAGGGUGAGGAUGGGCUGCAGGGCCUGUUCCCUCAGCUCCUGCCGCCUCCCUGUUCCUGCAACUGGCCAGCUGGGAUUACACAACUCACACUAGUUUUAUUCCCCAUGCGGCUGUUUCUCAUUAGGAGCCAGGAUCUUAUGUCUUCCCUCCUGGUGCCAUGCCACCCCCUUGGACCCAGCUGAACUCACCAGAUGUUCUGAGAGAGUUUAAAGCCUGGCUUUCCUGUCUUCCACAUGCGUUAAGUUGGAUCCAAAUCACAGCACGUCCUCCUCAGUGGUUCUGGAGAAGGACAUGAAGGCGGAGUCAGGCUUUCCUCUAGGCAUCAGAAACCAUCGGGCCCAGGCGUUGGCAUUCGGGGCCUUGGGAUGUUUCUGGACCAAACUCACAUUCACAAAUGGUUUGCUGUCUCCAGAUCCACUCCAGCAGAGGGAAAAGACAUCAGCCCCUCCUGUGUCAUUCUUCAAACAUUUAGGGGAAAUUGAUUUUCCACAUGGGCUAUGGCCAAGCGAGGGAUGUGCCGGCCCAGAGUUCCCAAGAAGGGCUGUUACCACAAGCACUUGCUGUAACCAAGACUGAGCCCAACUCGAGCACCCUCUGGAACAUUGAUGAGGACAGACGGAAAUGCCAAAUGCGCCUCAGGUUUGCAUGGCUGGAGGUGAGGCAAGUUUAGCGCUGGGCGGCUCAAGACUGGGAGAUGGCCCUGAGAGCUGAGGGUCUGUCCCAAAGAGGCUGCAUUAGUUCUAGAGCCACACCAUUUGAGACUGAAUCUCAAGCUACCUAUUGUUAGUUGAGUAACUGAAUAAAUUACUUCCCCUCUCUGUGCCUCUGUGUCUUCAUAUCUCAGCCCAGAAAGCUGAUGAUCACACACAAGUUCAAGGCCUGCCUGGGUGACUAGGUGAGACCCUAUUCCAAAGUUGAAAGUAGAAGGAGGCAUUUAACAGCCAUGCACAAACUCCCGGGUCCCAACACCCAGGACCAAACCCACAAGCAAGGUGAAGGGGCCAGUAAGAUGACUCAGUGGGGAGAGUACUAGCCACACGUGCCCGAGGACCUGAGUUCAGAUCCCCAUCACCCAGAAUAACCUGGGGAUGGUGGCACACAUCUGUGAUUCCAUAGCUAGGAAGAGGAGACAGGAGUGUUCAAGGGACUUUUAUCCCUGGUGCUAGUUUAGCUUCAAGCUCAGUGAAAGUCCCAGUCUCAGUGAGGAGGACGAUGAUGAUGACGACGAUGAUGAUGAUGAUGAAUAAAGCAAAGAUGAGCAGUUUUCCCAGAUUAAGGGCUAGAGAGAAAACAUUUUCAGCUUUAUAACCCAUAUAUUCUCUAGCCCGCUAUUUUGUAAAGAUUUAUGGGAUUGGAGAGAUAGCUCAUUAGUUAAAAGCGCUGACUGCUUUUGCAGAGGAUCCAGGUUCAGUUUCCCAGCACCCCACAUGACAGUUCACAACCAUCUGAACCUCCAGUUCCAGGGGAUCCGACACCCUCACAAUGCACAGUGUUUGUGUGGGGGCCUGAGUGUGCCAUGUAUGUGCCAAGUACAUGCAGAGACUAGAAGAUGGUUUGGGACCCCCUGCAUGGAACUGCGGUUACAGGUGGUUGUGAGCCGCCUGAUGUGAGUUUUAGGAACAGAGACCAGGUCCUCUGCAAGAGCAACAAGUGCUCCUAACCAUGGAGCCAUCUCUCAAGUCCUCCAGAACGCUGCUUAAUUCUGCUGUGACAGCAUGAAUCCUGCUUACCAGUUUGGCUUUUUUUAUUAACUUCUGUUCAUUUAUUUAUUUUUGAGACAGGGCUUUGUUAUGUAGCCCAGACUGGCCCGGAACUCAUUAUGCCUGUCUCAGCCUCCACAGUGCUGGGAUUACAAGUAUGCGCUCCUAUUUCUUGUUUCUCCUUGGACUUGGGACAUUUGACUUCACCACGGGGUGAGGGUGUAUCCAAACCCCACAACAGCUCUGCUUUUCACUUUGGAAGACACAGGUAACUUCUUUCCAGAAUGGACUUUGUGUGGCAUGACUCAGCCCAGCUGUAGUCUAAGACAAGCCCUUCAAGUGUGUUUAAAGUUGGACAGGAGACUGGAGACAUGGCUGUGUGGUUUAGAGAAAGUACUGCUUGCUCUUGCAGAAGACCCACGCUCAGUUCCCAGCACCCACCCCGGAGGGCUCACAAGUGCCUCUAACUCCAGCUCCAGGGAACCUCUCACCUCUGGCUCCAAGGGCACGGCACUAAUGUGUACAUACUCACACAUAGAGAAAGAUGCCAUCAAUUUCCCAUGAGUUUAUCUGGAUAUGACCCUUUCCUAUAUUGAGAAACAUCUGGAACCCAUUAAAAAUGAUCCUGUACUGAAAUUUUGAACUCAAAUUUUUGCAUGCGCUUGGCAAGGAUUCUACCAACAGAGCUGCAUCCCCGGCCGUGCCUGGCGAGUUCUAAGGCAGAGUUUAGCUGGUGUCGAUGCUAUUGGCUACACUCAUGCCUCUCUCUGCACUUGGCUGCCCACCUUGGCUUCACCUCACAGCAGCAAGAUGGACGGAGCACCCGGAGAUGCUUUGUGGCAUGCCACAGGAAGAGGCAGCCUUGUGAAGACAGGCGCUCCGCUGACCUUCGCUGUGAACACACAGAUGGGCCGGAACCCAGGACAUCAUGAAUGCUAGGCAAGCACUCAACCAACUACAUUCUUCAGCCCAAAGCCCUGGAUUUCUGGUCUCUACUCUGGGUUCUCUUUUCCCAGGCCUCCUGGCUAUCUGAUGAAGUGACAAGGUCAGCAUUGUCAUAGGAAUCAGUGGCUGAGAAGGCACAGGUGACAAGGGAAGAGACUUUGCUAAGUAAGAGCAGACACAGCCUUAAAACCAUGCUUAUGGUGGCGACCUCUAGGCACAGUUUCUGGUUCCUGGGGGUAUCACAAUUUCCACAUUCAGCCAUGUGCUGCGGAUGAUCCAAGGAGGACAGAUGGCAGGCGGCACAUCCUGUCUUGCCUAGCUGUGUUGCAGGUUUGUGGAAGUGGUUCUGUGCCAUUCACUCCGUGACAGCAUCAGACAGCCAUGCAUUUCCCAGAGAGUGUCCCGUCAUCAGUGAUGCACGACUCUGCUGUGAACUCUCCGGAAAUGAUGGGAUGAUGGCAAUAAUUCCUGUGAUGAAGCACAGGUGUGCCCUUUUGAGUUUCCGAGGAGAGCAGUUUCCUGGAAUGUCUUUCUGUUGAAGCUGUCGGAGGGCGCCUCCUUGCAUUUCACCCUGGCCUGACUGACUUGCAAAAGGAGAAGAUUCUCCGCAGGAGAAAGCUGGACUGAAGGGGCCGUGAAGUCACUGCUUUUCUCGUUGCGGUGACCUGACAAAAGCAACCUAAAGAAGGGAGAAUCUAUUUUAGCUAACAGUUUGAGGGCACAGUCCAUCGUGAUGGAGAAGGCAUGGCGGCGGGAGUGUGAGGCAGCUGGUCACAUGACCUCUGCUGACAGGAAGCAGAGAGAGAGAGGGAGAGAGAGAGAGAGAGAG